rnacentral:lncRNA from 1 species
AGGAGAGAGAGAGAGUACAGCAGGGGUCUGUAUUAGUGGAGGAGAGAGAGAGGGUACAGCAGGGGUCUGUAUUAGUGGAGGAGAGAGAGAGAGAGAGAGAACAGCAGGGUUCUGUAUUAGUGGAGGAGAGAGAGAGGGUACAGCAGGGGUCUGUAUUAGUGGAGGAGAGAGAGAGGGUACAGCAGGGGUCUGUAUUAGUGGAAGAGAGAGAGAGAGGGUACAGCAGGGGUCUGUAUUAGUGUAGGAGAGAGAGAGAGAGUACAGCAGGGAUCUGUAUUAGUGGAGGAGAGAGCGAGAGAGUACAGUAGGGGUCUGUAUUAGUGGAGGAGAGAGAGAGAGUUCAGCAGGGGUCUGUAUUAGUGGAGGAGAGAGAGAGAGGGUACAGCAGCGGUCUGUAUUAGUGGAGGAGAGAGAGAGAGUACAGCAGGGUUCUGUAUUAGUGGAGGAGAGAGAGAGGGUACAGCAGGGAUCUGUAUUAGUGGAGAAGAGAGAGAGGGUACAGCAGGGGUCUGUAUUAGUGGAGGAGAGAGAGAGAGAGAGAGAGUACAGCAGGUGGCUGUAUUAGUGGAGGAGAGAGAGAGAGAGGGUACAGCAGGGGUCUGUAUUAGUGGAGGAGAGAGAGAGAGAGAGAGUACAGCAGGGGUCUGUAUUAGUGGAGGAGAGAGAGAGGGUACAGCAGGGGUUUGUAUUAGUGGAGGAGAGAGAGAGAGUACAGCAGGGGUCCGUAUUAGUGGAGGAGAGAGAGAGGGUACAGCAGGGGUCUGUAUUAGUGGAGGAGAGAGAGAGGGUACAGCAGGGGUCUGUAUUAGUGGAGGAGAGAGAGAGGGUACAGCAGGGAUCUGUAUUAGUGGAGAAGAGAGAGAGGGUACAGCAGGUGUCUGUAUUAGUGGAGGAGAGAGAGAGAGAGUACAGCAGGUGGCUGUAUUAGUGGAGGAGAGAGAGAGAGAGGGUACAGCAGGGGUCUGUAUUAGUGGAGGAGAGAGAGAGAGAGUACAGCAGGGGUCUGUAUUAGUGGAGGAGAGAGAGAGAGAGAGAGAGAGAGAGAGGUACAGCAGGGUUCUGUAUUAGUGGAGGAGAGAGAGAGGGUACAGCAGGGAUCUGUAUUAGUGGAGAAGAGAGAGAGGGUACAGCAGGGGUCUCUAUUAGUGGAGGAGAGAGAGAGAGAGUACAGCAGGUGGCUGUAUUAGUGGAGGAGAGAGAGAGAGAGGGUACAGCAGGGGUCUGUAUUAGUGGAGGAGAGAGAGAGAGAGUACAGCAGGGGUCUGUAUUAGUGGAGGAGAGAGAGAGGGUACAGCAGGGGUUUGUAUUAGUGGAGGAGAGAGAGAGAGUACAGCAGGGGUCUGUAUUAGUGGAGGAGAGAGAGAGGGUACAGCAGGGGUCUGUAUUAGUGGAGGAGAGAGAGAGGGUACAGCAGGGGUCUGUAUUAGUGGAGGAGAGAGAGAGGGUACAGCAGGGAUCUGUAUUAGUGGAGAAGAGAGAGAGGGUACAGCAGGGGUCUGUAUUAGUGGAGGAGAGAGAGAGAGAGUACAGCAGGUGGCUGUAUUAGUGGAGGAGAGAGAG